GACGAACGCUGGCGGCGUGCUUGACACAUGCAAGUCGAACGGUAAGGCCCUUCGGGGUACACGAGUGGCGAACGGGUGAGUAACACGUGGGUGAUCUGCCCUGCACUUCGGGAUAAGCCUGGGAAACUGGGUCUAAUACCGGAUAGGACCCCUGGCUUCAUGGUUGGGGGUGGAAAGCUUUUGCGGUGUGGGAUGGGACCGCGGCCUAUCAGCUUGUUGGUGGGGUAAUGGCCUACCAAGGCGACGACGGGUAGCCGGCCUGAGAGGGUGACCGGUCACACUGGGACUGGGAUACUGCCCAGACUCCUACGGGAGGCAGCAGUGGGGAAUAUUGCACAAUGGGCGCAAGCCUGAUGCAGCGACGCCGCGUGAGGGAUGACGGCCUUCGGGUUGUAAACCUCUUUCAGCUAUGACGAAGCGCAAGUGACGGUAGUAGCAGAAGAAGGACCGGCCAACUACGUGCCAGCCGCCGCCGUAACAC
rnacentral:rRNA from 1 species